rnacentral:rRNA from 1 species
GACGUAGGGCGCGAGCGUUGUCCGGAUUUAUUGGGCGUAAAGAGCUCGUAGGCGGCUUGUCGCGUCGACUGUGAAAUCCCGCGGCUCAACUGCGGGUCUGCAGUCGAUACGGGCAGGCUAGAGUUCGGGAGAGGGAUGCGGAAUUCCGAGGUGUAGCGGUGAAAUGCGUAGAGAUGUGGAGGAACACCAAUGGCGAAGGCAGCCUCCUGGGCCAACACUGACACUCAUGCACGAAAGCGUGGGGAGCAAACAGGG